GUUCCGAUCUCAGGCUGGCAUGUUUCAAACCGGUGUAAGCCAGGUUGGUUUCUAUCUCCAAUUUUAUUUUAAUUUUUAGUACGAAAGGACCAAGAUUAGGAAAUAUUUUUUAUUUUAUGAAUACCAAU
rnacentral:rRNA from 1 species